rnacentral:rRNA from 1 species
AGAGUUUGAUCAUGGCUCAGGAUGAACGCUAGCUACAGGCUUAACACAUGCAAGUCGAACGAGAGAGAAGGAGCUUGCUUCUUCGAUCGAGUGGCGAACGGGUGAGUAACGCGUGAGGAACCUGCCUCAAAGAGGGGGACAACAGUUGGAAACGACUGCUAAUACCGCAUAAGCCCACGGGUCGGCAUCGACCGGAGGGAAAAGGAGCAAUCCGCUUUGAGAUGGCCUCGCGUCCGAUUAGCUAGUUGGUGAGGUAAUGGCCCACCAAGGCGACGAUCGGUAGCCGGACUGAGAGGUUGAACGGCCANAUUGGGACUGAGACACGGCCCAGACUCCUACGGGAGGCAGCA